AGCUGAGCCACGACCCCAGCCCCUUCAGUGGCCUUUUUAAAUCUGCCUCCUUUGGUUGCCGCUCGCCUUGCCUGAUCUCACACAAAACUGAGGAAAUACACUGACCCAGACCUUAGUAAACCUCAUGAGGAUUUUGAUCUGUUACAAUGGAUAGAACCAGGAUGGAUUCCAGACUAGGCACUGUUUUUCAGGAUGGAUGUUUGUAUUAUUAUGAAAACAAAAUGCCAAAAACAAGUAUUGUAACACCAAUGUAUGUCAAUCCUGAGGGACCACCUACGUUCGUUUUCUUCAGCCAAUACUUAGAUUCAAUGUGUCUCAGAGCAUUUGAUAACCUUGUGGUGACUAUUGUAAUCAACUGGGCAAAGCAAAGGAAGUAGUCCAUUGGGACCUAUCUAUAAGAGGAACAUAAAUGUUCUAACCCAAUUGUGCCACCUAGUUAUGAUUACAUUGUGAUUACAAUUCUAGACCACAUCAGUCUAAAACAGAUGUAAUUACACUGUGGUCACCGUUGGUGCUUAUGAGAUGAUUCAACAAUCCACGGUGAGGAGUGCCGAUGUCAUAACAAGGUUUAGAGGGAGGCACAUCUCACACAAGAGCGUGAACACCCAAUCAUCACGCUUAUGAACCGAAGGAUCGAGGAGUGACUUUUGGACAUGUGUGGAGUCCAGUCUUUGGCCAGCAGAAUAGGUGAUGCCUCUAUAUUAAUUCAUAGCACCCACUUUGGGCAUCCCCCAAGCACGGGCACUGUGAAUCAAGGGGGUGGACUGUAAGGAUGGCCUUAGGCCUGAGCUUAAACAACUGCAUUUUAAAAUAAAAUUGUAGUCCUCACCAGGCAAGCCACGAAUCCCUCCAAUAUGUCAAUCAGGCAUAGCCUGAUGAAGCAAGUCACUUUCCACAACCCUGGUAAGAGUUAGGGUAAAGUCACACGUCAUUUGUCUUAGCCCUGGUAAGAGUCAGAGGUGUGAUAUCAGGGUGGAAAUCACCAGACCAUACGUCCGGACUCUAGGAGGCAAGAAGUCACUAAGAAACCUGGUAACAGCUGAUAGAGACCCAAAGGGUGAACAGAAGCUCCUCAAAUUUAGUGUAAAUAAUAGAGCAAAAGGACAGACAUUCAGCCAGCUGACACUGGUGCAUACAGCCUGAGAGCCUGAUGAGGACCUGGAUCUGGCAUCCCUGCUCUUCUCAUCUGCCUGAUCUUUUGCGUGGUCCUCACCACUCUCAAAACUCUACAGCAGCUUCUUGACUCUGGAAGGAGAUGUCCUGGAAGAAACAGAAAGUGACAAUCUCCCAAAUUAACAGGUGGAUGUCAACACAGCACCAGGGUGCACUGUGACCCCGUCAGGGCACACCUGGAUGUAGCCUUUGAAGAGCGUCUUCAAAAGCCCUGUUUUCCCUGCUCGGCAGAACCACAGCCUCUGGGCAGGAGCCCCCUGAGUUUCCCCUUUGCCAGCCAAGAAAUAAACUUCUUUUUCCUUUUCCUCAAAA